rnacentral:rRNA from 1 species
AUUGAACGCUGGCGGCAUGCCUUACACAUGCAAGUCGAACGGUAACAGGCCACGAGCUGCCGCCUAGUGGCGGCCGGUUGAGUACUGCAUCGGAACGUACCCAGACCUAGUGGUUCGUGACUGGAAACGUUAGCUAAUUCCCCCUACUACCUCAUACUACAUACGGGUGAAAGCAGGGCAUCUUCCGAUCUUGCCCGCUGGAAUCAGCCGAUGUAGGAUUAGCUAGUUGGUGGGGUAAAGGCCCACCAAGGCAACGAGCUGUAGCUGGUCUGAGAGGACAACCAGCCACACUGGGACUGAGACACGGCCCAGACUCCUACGGGAGGCAGCAGUGGGGAAUAUUGGACAAUGGGCGCAAGCCUGAUCCAGCAAUGCCGCGUGGAUGAAGAAGGCCUUCGGGUUGUAAACUGCUUUUGUAGGGAACGAAAAGGCUCUGGUUAAUACCCGGGGGUACUGACGGUACCGAAAGAAUAAGCACCGGCUAACUACGUG